UACGUAGGGUGCGAGCGUUGUCCGGAAUUACUGGGCGUAAAGAGCUCGUAGGUGGUUUGUCGCGUUGUCCGUGAAAACUCACAACUCAAUUGUGGGCGUGCGGGCGAUACGGGCAGACUGGAGUACUGCAGGGGAGACUGGAAUUCCUGGUGUAGCGGUGGAAUGCGCAGAUAUCAGGAGGAACACCAAUAGCGAAGGCAGCUCGCUGGGACGGUACUGACGCUGAGGCGCGAAAGCGUGGGGAGCAAACAGG
rnacentral:rRNA from 1 species